GAUGAACGCUAGCUACAGGCUUAACACAUGCAAGUCGAGGGGAAACGACAUCGAAAGCUUGCUUUUGAUGGUCGUCGACCGGCGCACGGGUGAGUAACGCGUAUCCAACCUUCCCACAACUUUGGGAUAACCUUGCGAAAGUAAGACUAAUACCCAAUUAGAUCCCACGAAGUCAUUCGAACGGUAUCAAAGAUUUAUCGGUGAUGGAUGGGGAUGCGUCUGAUUAGCUUGUUGGCGGGGUGACGGCCCACCAAGGCACCGAUCAGUAGGGGUUCUGAGAGGAAGGUCCCCCACAUUGGAACUGAGACACGGUCCAAACUCCUACGGGAGGCAGCAGUGAGGAAUAUUGGUCAAUGGGCGAGAGCCUGAACCAGCCAAGUAGCGUGCAGGAUGACGGCCCUAUGGGUUGUAAACUGCUUUUAUAAGGGAAUAAAGUGGGUCACGUGUGACUUUUUGCAUGUACCUUAUGAAUAAGGACCGGCUAAUUCCGUG
rnacentral:rRNA from 1 species